AGCUUUGCGCAGUGGCAGUAUUGUAGCCAAUGAGGUCUAUCCAAGGCGCGAUUAUUGCUAACUGAAAACUUUUCCCAAAAAAAAGUAAUAAUAACAAGUGGGGUUGGUGGUACAUGCCUGUAGUCCCAGCUA
rnacentral:snRNA from 1 species